UAUUUUUGUAGACCUGUAUGUUGAGUUGGUUAGUGUAAAAGAAUAUACUAUAAUCAAACGAAGAACAUAGAAUUGACCAAGUUGCUUCAAGUCAUGAAGCCUGAAAUGCAAUGAAAUCAAUUCAUUUGCAGCAAACAACAUAUACAUAUUUUUUUCGGCACAGAGGUAUACAAAAACCAACCUACCUGUAAAACUCCUACGUAUCAAUAAAUCAUAACUAACAACCAAUCAUGACGAACAAACCCCAUCAAGCCCAAGCUCAAAUACAAACGCCACUAACAUAAUCACCCACAAUUCAUUACAGUAAACACAAAACCUGCCAAGAAAUUACGUUCAGAAAACUUUUAAUUCAAAACCACUUGCAGAAAACUUUUAAUCCAAAACCAAGAAAUUAACCACCAAGGAAUCGCUGUAAAACCACUCACACUAAACUUUAAUCCGAUAAAUCAUCUGAAACCAGGGCUCGGCUCAAAAUAUAAAAAACUUCAAAAUUAACCAAAAAAUAUUUGUUAGACUAUCCGAAAACACAAUUCAGACCAAACAGGAAAGAAGAAGAAAACAAAACAGUUGGAACCAAACGGCAUCAAACAUGGAAACCAGAUAGUCAUUUAGCAGAAACUUCUGGUCCGUCAAGAACUUGAAUAGACCCACAAAAACCAAGAAAAAUACAAAAAAAUUGACAUAGAGUAGCGGGAAAAAUGCUUACCAAAUGGUUCUUCAAGGUUAACGAUUUCAGAGUUUUUGUUCUAAAUACAAAAAAUUUGACAGAGUGUGUGCGAGUUCUUCCUCAUUCACCCAUUUGAGAGAGAGAGAGAGAGAGAGAGAGAGAGAGAGAGAGAGAGAGAGAUGGAAGGUACCUAAUGACAGAGAAGUAAAUAGUUGAAGAAAUACUCGAGGAUUUGUGUAAAUCCUAACGUUUAUUUUUCGGAUUGCAAGUUUCAGAUGAAGAAAUCAUACAGUUAUGAAACCAGGGCUCGGCUCAAAAUAUAAAAAACUUCAAAAUUAACCAAAAAAUAUUUGUUAGACUAUCCGAAAACACAAUUCAGACCAAACAGGAAAGAAGAAGAAAACAAAACAGUCGGAACCAAACGGCAUCAAACAUGGAAACCAGAUAGUCAUUUAGCAGAAACUUCUGGUCCGUCAAGAACUUGAAUAGACCCACAAAAACCAAGAAAAAUACAAAAAAAUUGACAUAGAGUAGCGGGAAAAAUGCUUACCAAAUGGUUCUUCAAGGUUAACGAUUUCAGAGUUUUUGUUCUAAAUACAAAAAAUUUGACAGAGUGUGUGCGAGUUCUUCCUCAUUCACCCAUUUGAGAGAGAGAGAGAGAGAGAGAGAGAGAGAGAGAGAUGGAAGGUACCUAAUGAC
rnacentral:lncRNA from 1 species